CCUACGGGAGGCUGCAGUGGGGAAUAUUGGACAACGGGGGGAACCCUGAUCCAGCCAUGCCGCGUGUGUGAAGAAGGCCCUCGGGUUGUAAAGCACUUUCAGUGAGGAAGAACGCCUGGUGGUUAAUACCCAUCAGGAAAGACAUCACUCACAGAAGAAGCACCGGCUAACUCCGUGCCAGCAGCCGCGGUAAUACGGAGGGUGCGAGCGUUAAUCGGAAUUACUGGGCGUAAAGCGCGCGUAGGUGGCUUGAUAAGCCGGUUGUGAAAGCCCCGGGCUCAACCUGGGAACGGCAUCCGGAACUGUCAAGCUAGAGUGCAGGAGAGGAAGGUAGAAUUCCCGGUGUAGCGGUGAAAUGCGUAGAGAUCGGGAGGAAUACCAGUGGCGAAGGCGGCCUUCUGGACUGACACUGACACUGAGGUGCGAAAGCGUGGGUAGCAAACAGGAUUAGAUACCCUGGUAGUC
rnacentral:rRNA from 1 species